rnacentral:rRNA from 1 species
AUGGCGGCGGCUACGACGAGGGUUCUCGGAUCCAAAUCGCCCGACUGCUUCCAGCUCCGGGACCCUAAUUCCUGGGUUUGCUUGACCGAGCUUGCGAGCGAUGUGGUCGUCGAGGUCGGGGACAUCUCCUUUCAUCUCCACAAGUUCCCCUUAAUCAGCCGGAGCACCACGCUGCAGAAGCUCAUCGCCGAGUCCACCACCUCUUCCGACGACCAAGACGGCGGCAAGCCUUGCACCGUGCAGCUCGACGACCUCCCGGGCGGCGCGGCGACCUUCAGGCUCGCCGCCAAGUUCUGCUACGAUAUCCAAUUCGAGCUCAACGCGGCCAACGUCGUCCCCGUGCGCUGCGCGGCCCAGCGCCUGGGCAUGGCCGGCGAGGGCAACCUCGCCGCCCACGCCGAGGCCUUCUUCGUCCGCGACGUGCUAGGCAGCUGGGACGCGGCCGUGCGCGCGCUGCAGGCGUGCGACGACGGCGAUGACGUCGUGCGGCAGCUCGCCGAGGACCUCCUCCUCGCGCCCCAGUGCAUCGAGUCGCUGGCGGCCAAGGCGUGCGCCGACCCGACGCUCUUCGGCUGGCCCAUGGUCGAGAACUACAUGGCGAGGUGCGUCGAUGCCGCGGCGCCGCCCGUGAUGUGGAACGGGAUCAGCACCUACGGGAAGCCGCGGUCGCCGGGCGCCGGGUGGUGGUACAGGCAGGCGUCGUCGCUCCGGCUGCCCCUGUACAAGCGGCUCAUCUCCGAGAUGCGGUCCAGGGGCAUGAGCCCCGAGGGCAUCGCCGGCUCGCUCGCGCACUACGCCAGGCGGCACCUCUCCGGCCUCAACCGGCGCGACGUUGCCGGCGACGUCGGCGCGUCGGACACCACGUCGUCCGAUGACGUGGUCGGCGAGCAGCGUGUGCUGCUGGAGGAGAUCGUGGCGCUGCUCCCCGCGGAGAAGGGCGUCGCGACGACGAGGUUCCUGCUCGGCAUGCUCCGCACGGCGACGGUCCUGCACGCCAGCGCGGCGUGCCGGGACGCUCUGGAGAGGCGGGCCGGCGAGCAGGUGGAAAAGGCGGCGCUGGAGGACCUCCUGAUCCCCAACACCAGCUACUCCACGGACACGCUCUACGACGUGGACUGCAUGCAGCGCAUGCUGGAGCAGUUCCUGCUGUCCAACACGACGGCGUACGCCGAUCCCUUGCCGGAGAUCACGGCGGACGAGGCCCCGCCCGGAGAGCUCAUGCCGGCCAGCACGGUAGCCAAGCUCGUCGACGGGUACCUCGCCGAGGUCGGCACGGACGCCAACCUCAAGUGCUCCCAGUUCCAGCAAAUCGUGGCGCUUGUCCCUGACUACGCCCGGUCCCUCGACGAUGGCCUCUACCGCGCCAUCGACAUCUUCAUCAAGGCGCACCCGUGGCUGACGGAGUCGGAGCGGGAGCAGCUGUGCCGGCUGAUGAACUGCCAGAAGCUGUCGCUGGAGGCGUGCACGCACGCGGCGCAGAACGAGCGACUGCCGCUGCGGGUGGUGGUGCAGGUGCUCUUCUUCGAGCAGCUGCGGCUGCGCACCACGGUGGCCAGCUGGUUCUUCGUCGGCGACAACAGCGCCGCCGUCGCCGACCAGGGGUCCCCAAGGAGCUCCCGCCCGAGGAAGAGCCGGACCGGCGAGGUGGACUUCGGCAUGGGGUCGGAGAACAACGACCACGAAGAGGUCGAGGUGUACACGCCCGGGAGCAGCAGCGAGCCGGCGUCGGCGAUGAGCGUGCACGAGAUCCGGCAGAGGGUGGUGGGCCUGGAGGGGGAGUGCUCCAGCAUGCGGCAGGAGAUGCACCGGCUAGGGAAGCCCAAGGGAGCGCUCAGUAGGCUGUUCCGGAAGCUCGGGCUCAGUGGCGGCGGCAGGACGUCGUCGUCACGGCAGCAGCAGCCACGAUUGCCAAGCUCCGGCGACGAGAAGCGCAGCAGGUUCUUGGAUUUGGGGUGUUAG